UGCCCUACGGGAGGCAGCAGUGAGGAAUAUUGGUCAAUGGGCGAGAGCCUGAACCAGCCAAGUCGCGUGAAGGAUGACGGCCCUACGGGUUGUAAACUUCUUUUGUCAGGGAGCAAUUGGGUCCACGUGUGGGCUUAGCGAGAGUACCUGAAGAAAAAGCAUCGGCUAACUCCGUGCCAGCAGCCGCGGUAAUACGGAGGACGCGAGCGUUAUCCGGAUUUAUUGGGUUUAAAGGGUGCGCAGGCGGCGAGUUAAGUCAGCGGUAAAAUUUCGGGGCUCAACCCCGACGAGCCGUUGAAACUGGC
rnacentral:rRNA from 1 species